rnacentral:misc_RNA from 1 species
GUAUUUAGAAUUAAGUAUUCAAAAAUAUUUUCAGACAAAAAAUUUCAAUAAAGGGUUGGUAUUAUGCUGACAAGAACGCGUAAAACGAGCCUGUCAGCAAACAUUGCACACAAGGUGAAUACUGAUUUUUAAAAAGUGCAGUAAAACACUUAUUAUGAAUGAUCCUUCCGCAGGUUCACCUACGGAAA